rnacentral:rRNA from 1 species
UACGGAGGGUGCAAGCGUUAUCCGGAUUUACUGGGUUUAAAGGGUGCGUAGGUGGGUCUGUAAGUCAGUGGUGAAAUCUCCGAGCUUAACUCGGAAACUGCCAUUGAUACUAUAGAUCUUGAAUAUCCUGGAGGUGAGCGGAAUAUGUCAUGUAGCGGUGAAAUGCUUAGAUAUGACAUAGAACACCAAUUGCGAAGGCAGCUCGCUACACUGAUAUUGACACUGAGGCACGAAAGCGUGGGGAGCAAACAGG